UCGUAACAAGGUUUCCGUAGGUGAACCUGCGGAAGGAUCAUUACCGAGUUUUCGAGCUCCGGCUCGACUCUCCCACCCUUUGUGAACGUACCUCUGUUGCUUUGGCGGCUCCGGCCGCCAAAGGACCUUCAAACUCCAGUCAGUAAACGCAGACGUCUGAUAAACAAGUUAAUAAACUAAAACUUUCAACAACGGAUCUCUUGGUUCUGGCAUCGAUGAAGAACGCAGCGAAAUGCGAUAAGUAAUGUGAAUUGCAGAAUUCAGUGAAUCAUCGAAUCUUUGAACGCACAUUGCGCCCCUUGGUAUUCCGGGGGGCAUGCCUGUUCGAGCGUCAUUACAACCCUCAAGCUCUGCUUGGAAUUGGGCACCGUCCUCACUGCGGACGCGCCUCAAAGACCUCGGCGGUGGCUGUUCAGCCCUCAAGCGUAGUAGAAUACACCUCGCUUUGGAGCGGUUGGCGUCGCCCGCCGGACGAACCUUCUGAACUUUUCUCAAGGUUGACCUCGGAUCAGGUAGGGAUACCCGCUGAACUUAAGCAUAUCAA
rnacentral:rRNA from 1 species